rnacentral:rRNA from 1 species
UACAGGGGGUGCAAACGUUGCUCGGAAUCAUUGGGCGUAAAGCGCACGUAGGCGGUCUGUUAUGUCGGAUGUGAAAGCCCUUGGCUCAACUGAGGAAGUGCAUCCGAAACUGGCAGGCUAGAGUACUAAAGAGGAUCGCGAAUUCCUGGUGUAGCGGUGAAAUGCGCAGAUAUCAGGAGGAACACCGGUGGCGAAGGCGGUUCUCUGGGCAUGUCCUGACGCUGAGGAGCGAAAGUGUGGGGAGCGAACAGG